rnacentral:rRNA from 1 species
UACGAAGGGGGCUAGCGUUGCUCGGAAUCACUGGGCGUAAAGCGCACGUAGGCGGCUUUUUAAGUCAGGGGUGAAAUCCUGGAGCUCAACUCCAGAACUGCCUUUGAUACUGAGAGGCUUGAGUCCGGGAGAGGUGAGUGGAACUGCGAGUGUAGAGGUGAAAUUCGUAGAUAUUCGCAAGAACACCAGUGGCGAAGGCGGCCCACUGGCCCGGUACUGACGCUGAGGUGCGAAAGCGUGGGGAGCAAACAGG